UACAGAGGGUGCAAGCGUUGUUCGGAAUUACUGGGCGAAAGCGCGUGUAGGCGGCGUCGUUAGUCGGAUGUGAAAGCCCUCGGCUCAACCGAGGAAGUGCAUCCGAUACUGCGAUGCUUGAGUGUUGGAGGGGGUGGCGGAAUUCCCGGUGUAGAGGUGAAAUUCGUAGAUAUCGGGAGGAACACCUGUGGCGAAGGCGGCCACCUGGACAACAACUGACGCUGAGACGCGAAAGCGUGGGUAGCAAACAGG
rnacentral:rRNA from 1 species